rnacentral:rRNA from 1 species
UACGUAGGGGGCUAGCGUUGUCCGGAAUCAUUGGGCGUAAAGAGCGUGUAGGCGGUCCGGUAAGUCCGCUGUGAAAGUCGGGGGCUCAACCCUCGAAUGCCGGUGGAUACUGUCGGGCUAGAGUGCGGAAGAGGCGAGUGGAAUUCCUGGUGUAGCGGUGAAAUGCGUAGAUAUCGGGAGGAAUACCAGAGGCGAAGGCGGCGCACUGGACGGCAACUGACACUCAACUGCGAAAGCGUGGGGAGCAAACAGG